UACGGGGGGGGCAAGCGUUUGUUCGGAUUUACUGGGCGUAAAGGGCGCGUAGGCGGCCAGCACAAGUCAGUUGUGAAAUCUCCGAGCUUAACUCGGAAAGGUCAACUGAUACUGUGCGGCUAGAGUGCGGAAGGGGCAACUGGAAUUCUUGGUGUAGCGGUGAAAUGCGUAGAUAUCAAGAGGAACACCUGCGGCGAAGGCGGGUUGCUGGGCCGACACUGACGCUGAGGCGCGAAGGCCAGGGGAGCGAACGGG
rnacentral:rRNA from 1 species